AACGAACGCUGGCGGCGUGGAUAAGACAUGCAAGUCGAACGAGAUUUUUCGUUGUAGCAAUACGACGGAAAGUCUAGUGGCGAACGGGUGCUUAACACGUGGGCAACCUGCCGGGAAGUGGGGGAUAGCUCGCCGAAAGGCGAAUUAAUACCGCAUGUGAUUAGAGAGGACAUCCUUUCGAAAUUAAAGUCGGGGCAACCUGACGAUUCUUGUGGGGGCCCGCGGCCUAUCAGCUAGUUGGUGAGGUAACGGCUCACCAAGGCUUUGACGGGUAGCUGGUCUGAGAGGACGACCAGCCACACUGGGACUGAGACACGGCCCAGACACCUACGGGUGGCAGCAGUCGAGAAUUUUUGACAAUGGGGGAAACCCUGAUCGAGCGACGCCGCGUGGAGGAUGAAGGUCUUCGGAUUGUAAACUCCUGUCAUUGGGGAACAAUGCGCAAAUAUUAACUGUAUUUGUGUUGAUAGUACCCGAAGAGGAAGAGACGGCUAACUCUGUGCCAGCCGCCGCAGUAAAAC
rnacentral:rRNA from 1 species